rnacentral:rRNA from 1 species
GAUUUCUGGCUUGAAACAUCUGGCCGGCCACGGUUUCGUGUGUUAGUGCUUGAUGUUCUGGCCAUCCUUCCAAUCGCUAUUGGCUAUUCUUCAUUGAAUGGUCAGUAGUAUUGGAUCUUUUACUUUGAAAAAAUUAGAGUGUUUCAAGCAGGCUUUAUGCUAUGAAUACAUUAGCAUGGAAUAAUAAUUUAGGACUUCGGUUCUAUUUUGUUGGUUUCUAGGACUGAAGUAAUGAUUGAUAGGGAUAGUUGGGGGUGCUAGUAUUCAGCGGCCAGAGGUGAAAUUCAUGGAUUCGCUGAAGACUGACUUAUGCGAAAGCAUU